rnacentral:rRNA from 1 species
CAGCCCUAAACGAUGCGCGUUAGGUGUAUCGGUGACCACGAGUCACCGAGGUGCCGAAGGGAAACCGUGAAACGUGCCGCCUGGGAAGUACGGUCGCAAGGCUGAAACUUAAAGGAAUUGGCGGGGGGAGCACCACAACGGGUGGAGCCUGCGGUUUAAUUGGACUCAACGCCGGGAAGCUCACCGGAUAAGACAGCGGAAUGAUUGCCGGGCUGAAGACCCUGCAUGACCAGCUGAGAGGAGGUGCAUGGCGUCAGUGACU